rnacentral:rRNA from 1 species
UACGUAGGGGGCAAGCGUUGUCCGGAAUCAUUGGGCGUAAAGCGCGUGUAGGCGGCCUUGUAAGUCCGUUCUGAAAGCCCGGGGCUCAACCCCGGGAGGCGGAUGGAUACUGCAAGGCUCGAGUACGGAAGAGGCGAGUGGAAUUCCCGGUGUAGCGGUGAAAUGCGCAGAUAUCGGGAGGAACACCAAUGGCGAAGGCAGCACUCUGGGACGUGACUGACGCUGAGACGCGAAAGCGUGGGGAGCAAACAGG